GAUGAACGCUGGCGGCGUGCUUAACACAUGUAAGUCGAACGGAAAGGCUCCUGCUUGCAGGGGUACUCGAGUGGCGAACGGGUGAGUAACACGUGGGUGAUCUGCCCUGCACUUCGGGAUAAGCCUGGGAAACUGGGUCUAAUACCGGAUAGGACGAUGGUUUGGAUGCCAUUGUGGAAAGUUUUUGCGGUGUGGGAUGAGCUCGCGGCCUAUCAGCUUGUUGGUGGGGUAAUGGCCUACCAAGGCGUCGACGGGUAGCCGGCCUGAGAGGGUGUACGGCCACAUUGGGACUGAGAUACGGCCCAGACUCCUACGGGAGGCAGCAGUGGGGAAUAUUGCACAAUGGGCGCAAGCCUGAUGCAGCGACGCCGCGUGGGGGAUGACGGCCUUCGGGUUGUAACCUCCUUUCGCUAGGGACGAAGCGCAAGUGACGGUACCUGGAGAAGAAGCACCGGCUAACUACGUG
rnacentral:rRNA from 1 species